rnacentral:rRNA from 1 species
AUGGCUGGCUGUGUGGUCUCGACCUCCAACUCAUUCUCCACUUCUUCCUCCUCCCCUUUGAAAUCUGCAUCAGACUCGAUCUCUUGCUCCUCCCUUCUGCGCCGGAACCGAACCGUGGCUGGGCGUUUCGGCCAUGGCGCCUCGACCUCCACCUCCUCGUUGCCCAAUCCAUCCUCCUCCCCAUUGAACUCCUCGUCAGACUCGUCUUCCUGCUUCCCCGCCCUGCCCCGGGAGCGAGCCGUGGGCGCGCACCUCGGCGUCGGCGUCUCGAUCUCGAAGCCCUCGUCCUCCCCAUCCAACUCCGCGUCAGACUCUUCUUCCUGCUUCCUCGACCUGCCCCGGGAGCGAGCCGUCGGCGCACGCCUCGGCCGCGGCGUGUCGAUCUCGAAAUCCUCGUCCUCCUCCUCCUCGAAAUCCGCAUCGGAGUCGUCGUCGUCGUCGUCGUCGCGCGGCUUGGCCUUCCUGGCCCGUCGGCGAGGCUUGGGCCGCGGCGUCUCGAUCUCCUCCAACUCCUCCUCGAAAUCCGCAUCGGAUUCCUCCUGCUCCGACUCCUGCCUCCGCCUCCGCUUCCGGCCCCGGCCGCGAGCCCUGGCCGGCCGCCGCCUGGGCCGCGGCGCGUCGAUCUCGAAGUCCUCCUCCUCCUCCUCCUCGGAAUCGGCGUCGGAAUCGUCGUCGUCGUCCGACUUGGCCUUCUUCCUGCCCCGCCCGCGGGGCCUGGGGGGAGGCCUGGGAGGGCGCCUCGGCCGGUGCCGCGGCUUGUCGAUCUCGAAAUCCUCGUCGUCCUCCUCCUCCUCCUCCGCGUCCCCGUCGAAGUCGGCGUCAGAUUCGUCCUCGGCCUCCUCCUCGGAGGCGUCCUCGUCGGAGCACGCGGCCGCCGCGUACUCAACGUCAUCCUCCUCCUCCACCUCCUCCUCCUCGUCCUCGUCCACGACGUACUCGUCGUCGUCGUCGCCGCCCAUCUUCGCCCGCCGCAGGACCGCCCUCCCGCCGGCGACCAUAGACGGGCAGAUCCCUGCACGCACGCCACAAAUCCAAGUCAGUUGA